rnacentral:rRNA from 1 species
CCUACGGGAGGCUGCAGUGAGGAAUAUUGGUCAAUGGACGAGAGUCUGAACCAGCCAAGUAGCGUGAAGGAUGACUGCCCUAUGGGUUGUAAACUUCUUUUAUAUGGGAAUAACAUGUUCCACGUGUGGGAUUUUGUAUGUACCAUAUGAAUAAGGAUCGGCUAACUCCGUGCCAGCAGCCGCGGUAAUACGGAGGAUCCGAGCGUUAUCCGGAUUUAUUGGGUUUAAAGGGAGCGUAGGUGGAUUGUUAAGUCAGUUGUGAAAGUUUGCGGCUCAACCGUAAAAUUGCAGUUGAAACUGGCAGUCUUGAGUACAGUAGAGGUGGGCGGAAUGCGUGGUGUAGCGGUGAAAUGCUUAGAUAUCACGAAGAACUCCGAUUGCGAAGGCAGUUCACUGGACUGCAACUGACACUGAGGCUCGAAAGUGUGGGUAUCAAACAGGAUUAGAUACCCCUGUAGUC